rnacentral:lncRNA from 1 species
CGCUACAUGAUUCAUAAGUUCACAAGAAAUGAAGAAGACUGUUACACCCUAAACUUCUAGCAUUUAUUAAAUGACCAAAAUACCCCGGGGCGGACGGAAGACUCAAAUUAAAUAUAAAAGUCAAAGUCAACAAAAUAAAUGAUUCAAAGUCAAGAAGUUAUUUUGAAACAAAUAGCCCUACAUACAUGGGAAAAAUUAAAAAUAUGAAAACCAAGUCCAACGUAAAUCAUGAAUAAAGUCUCAAGUCUAAUAACUCCAAAGAAAACAUCAUAAGUGUCCAACAUCCAUCCCGAUUAAUCACUCAGAGUCUUGGGACAUGAUUGGCAGCAACUACUGCUCUUACAACUCGUCUCCGCUCCGAUAUCUCUCGUAUGACCUGGUGGGUGGCUCAGGGUCAGUCUUUCGUGCUUAAUUUUUUUAUGUUGGUAAGUACAUUAUGAAAUAAUCGUGGUAUCAUGUUAUUCGUAUAAUAGUAGGCAUUAUCGUGAAAGUCAAACUAUGUGACUUAUAUUCUUAUACUAGCCUUGACAUUCAUUCAAGGUUUCUUAAUUCAUGUAGGGCGUCCCCUCUUCUCACUAACAAGCCCUACCACCCAUUCAUGAAAAAUCAUGGAUGUCCAGGAGAACAUAUCCGCCAGACAACAUAUCGUGUUUUUUUGGAGAUCUGGGAGAACGUAUUCGUCAGAAAAUAUAUCGUGUGGGCAAUACUAGCCCUAUUCGUGUGGGAGCGGGGGUCUAGCUAGUGAGACUCAUGUUAUUAUUCCACCUAGUAAUGGUCUAUAUUUGAUU